rnacentral:rRNA from 1 species
UGGGGAAUAUUGGACAAUGGGGGGAACCCUUAUCCAGCCAUGCCGCGUGUGUGAAGAAGGCCUUAUGGUUGUAAAGCACUUUAAGCGAGGAGGAGGGUACUGGUAUUAAUACUACCAGGUACUGGACGUUACUCGCAGAAUAAGCACCGGCUAACUCUGUGCCAGCAGCCGCGGUAAUACAGAGGGUGCGAGCGUUAAUCGGAUUUACUGGGCGUAAAGCGUGCGUAGGCGGCUAAUUGAGUCGGAUGUGAAAUCCCCGAGCUUAACUUGGGAAUUGCAGUCGAUACUGGUUAGCUAGAGUGUGGGAGAGGAUGGUAGAAUUCCAGGUGUAGCGGUGAAAUGCGUAGAGAUCUGGAGGAAUACCGAUGGCGAAGGCAGCCAUCUGGCCUAACACUGACGCUGAGGUACGAAAGCAUGGGGAGCAAACAGG